rnacentral:rRNA from 1 species
UACGUAGGUGGCAAGCGUUGUCCGGAUUUACUGGGCGUAAAGCGUGCGCAGGCGGCCAUCCAAGUUAGAGGUGAAAGCCCGGGGCUCAACUCCGGAAUUGCCUUUAAGACUGCAUCGCUAGAAUUGUGGAGAGGUAAGUGGAAUUCCGAGUGUAGAGGUGAAAUUCGUAGAUAUUCGGAAGAACACCAGUGGCGAAGGCGACUUACUGGACACAUAUUGACGCUGAGGUGCGAAAGCGUGGGGAGCAAACAGG